rnacentral:rRNA from 1 species
AGAGCGAACGCUGGCGGCAUGCUUAACACAUGCAAGUCGCACGGGCAGGGGAAACCCUGUCAGUGGCGGACGGGUGAGUAACGCGUAGGAAUCUAUCUCUGGGUGGGGGACAACCGUGGGAAACUACGGCUAAUACCGCAUGACACCUGAGGGUCAAAGGCGCAAGUCGCCUGGAGAGGAGCCUGCGUACGAUUAGCUUGUUGGUGGGGUAAAGGCCUACCAAGGCGACGAUCGUUAGCUGGUCUGAGAGGAUGAUCAGCCACAUUGGGACUGAGACACGGCCCAAACUCCUACGGGAGGCAGCAGUGGGGAAUAUUGGACAAUGGGCGAAAGCCUGAUCCAGCAAUGCCGCGUGGGUGAAGAAGGUCUUCGGAUUGUAAAGCCCUUUCGACGGGGACGAUGAUGACGGUACCCGUAGAAGAAGCCCGGCUAACUCGCGCCAGCAGCCGC